CAAAGAUAGUGGUGAAAAAAGAGUUGUGAAGGGGAACUUGUUAUUCAAGACACAAGGGUAUUUUAAUGUAUGGUGUUAAUGGGAAUUUCUGUUCGGUUAAUUAUUACCACGUGGUAAGCCCUCAUUGGACCCAAUGAGUGGCGUGUCGCUUGGUCCAACUCACCUUUGGCCGAGUGAUUUGGCGUCCGAGCAUGGUGAAAGGAGGAUAUAAGGAGCGAGUCCGGCCGAGAAAG